rnacentral:lncRNA from 1 species
AUUUCAGAGGCGGGAAGAGAACGUCGUUGUCGUCGUUGUCAUCAUCAUCAUCAUAACUGCUGAGUGACCCACCGCGGGUAAACUCCCUUGUCAGCCUUGUGAGAUGCACAACUCCUCUGGACCUUAGACAUAUCCUUUGUCCAGUGCUUUUAAAAAAAAUACAUUUAACACUUCAUGAAAAACUGGCUUAAAGACACGCACCACUACCACGGCCUGGCACUUUUGGGUAAUAUUCAUUUGCCAUGCCUCAAUUCAUGAAGAAACAUCGCUUGGCUAUAAAAUCCCAGCUGGUGGCAGCUGUAAUUGUGGUAAAAGCCAGUCUCAACAGAAGUGCACAAAGGGAGCAGAAUCAGACAAUGGGUGUAAUUGGAACCACAGGACCUCAGAGGCAAUGCAGACUGGACACUUCAGAGCUCCUUGCAGUCUCUGGGUUGGAUCUGGCCACAAUGCCUAGCGCAGAAUACCUUACAACACUCUCUAGGUGUCUGAUGUUUGACGGGGAUGCCAUUUCUCUUUGCCUCAGUGGCAAUUCACAGACAUGAUUUUGUUGAUAAUCCCCAAACCCACAGGGACUGGAGCUCAUGAUCCUGUCAGAAGCUUCGAGUGUUUGCCACUGAAUAAACAUGAACGCUUACACCAUUUGCAUGAAUAAAAUAUAUGAUGGGAUAUUUUUAUCUAUAAACACAAUAAACAGGGUUGAGUUGUGU